CUAGUCAUCGGAGAGCUCUCUUUGGGCUUUCCAAAAAGGUAUCACAUGCCAAGUUUGGCCUCACAGUCUAAAAGUUAUAGAGUCAUACAUUUUUAACAAAACAAAAUAGAGAAAAACCGAAAAAAAAGAGGGAUGCAACACGAGGACUUUCUGGGAGGUAAUCUAUCCUAGUACUACUCUCGCCCAAGCACCCUUAACUGCGGAGUUCUGAUGGGAUCCGGUGCAGUAGUGCUGGUAUGAUCGCAUGUGUUACUACAUGCAAUGUAAUCGUAUCUAUUCUUUUUUAAAGACUUUAUGAUCCAUUUGCCGUGAGUCCCACCAGCUAUGUAGGAAUAUUCUAUCUUCUUUAUAAGAGCUUUGAUACAUGCAAAAUACUGGAAAACAAUGUCCGAACAUAUAAUUUUCCCCCCGUAAUAUAGCAAAGAUCACGAAAAGGCCCAGAAAAGUACAUUUAGUUCAAAAUUUGGAGUAGAAAAAAAAACAAUAGAAGAAUUCCAUUUUCCUUCCUCAAUCAUCGGAGAGCUCUCUUUGGGCUUUCCGAAAAGGUAUCUCAUGCCAAGUUUGGCCUCACGAACUAAAAGUUAUAGAGUCAUACAUUUUUAACAAAACAAAAUAGAGAAAAACCGAAAAAAGAGGGAUGCAACACAAGGACUUUCCGGGAGGUCACCCAUCCUAGUACUACUCUCGCCCAAGCACCCUUAACUGCGGAGUUCUGAUGGGAUCCAGUGCAUUAGUGCUGGUAUGAUCGCAUGUGUUACUACAUGCAAUGUAAUCGUAUCUAUUCUUUUUUAAAGAUUUUAUGAUCCAUUUGCCGUGGGUCCCACCAGCUAUGUAGGAAUACCCUAUCUUCUUUAUAAGAGCUUUGAUACAUACAAAAUAUUGGAUCACAAUGUCAGAACAUAUAAUUUUCCCCCCUUAAUAUAGCAAAGUUCACUAAAAGGCCCGAAAAAAUACAUUUAGUUCAAAAUUUGGAGUAGAAAAAAAAACAAUAGAAGAAUUUCAUUUUCCUUCCUCAGUCAUCGGAGAGCUCUCUUUGGGCUUUCCAAAAAGGUAUCACAUGCCAAGUUUGGCCUCACAGUCUAAAAGUUAUAGAGUCAUACAUUUUUAACAAAACAAAAUAGAGAAAAACCGAAAAAAGAGGGAUGCAACACGAGGACUUUCCCGGAGGUAAUCUAUCCUAGUACUACUCUCGCCCAAGCACCCUUAACUGCGGAGUUCUGAUGGGAUCCGGUGCAGUAGUGCUGGUAUGAUCGCAUGUGUUACUACAUGCAAUGUAAUCGUAUCUAUUCUUUUUUAAAGACUUUAUGAUCCAUUUGCCGUGAGUCCCACCAGCUAUGUAGGAAUAUUCUAUCUUCUUUAUAAGAGCUUUGAUACAUGCAAAAUACUGGAAAACAAUGUCCGAACAUAUAAUUUUCCCCACGUAAUAUAGCAAAGAUCACGAAAAGGCCCGAAAAAGUACAUUUAGUUCAAAAUUUGGAGUAGAAAAAAAAACAAUAGAAGAAUUUCAUUUUCCUUCCUCAGUCAUCGGAGAGCUCUCUUUGGGCUUUCCAAAAAGGUAUCACAUGCCAAGUUUGGCCUCACAGUCUAAAAGUUAUAGAGUCAUACAUUUUUAACAAAACAAAAUAGAGAAAAACCGAAAAAAAAGAGGGAUGCAACACGAGGACUUUCUGGGAGGUAAUCUAUCCUAGUACUACUCUCGCCCAAGCACCCUUAACUGCGGAGUUCUGAUGGGAUCCGGUGCAGUAGUGCUGGUAUGAUCGCAUGUGUUACUACAUGCAAUGUAAUCGUAUCUAUUCUUUUUUAAAGACUUUAUGAUCCAUUUGCCGUGAGUCCCACCAGCUAUGUAGGAAUAUUCUAUCUUCUUUAUAAGAUCUUUGAUACAUGCAAAAUACUGGAAAACAAUGUCCGAACAUAUAAUUUUCCCCCCGUAAUAUAGCAAAGAUCACGAAAAGGCCCAGAAAAGUACAUUUAGUUCAAAAUUUGGAGUAGAAAAAAAAACAAUAGAAGAAUUCCAUUUUCCUUCCUCAAUCAUCGGAGAGCUCUCUUUGGGCUUUCCGAAAAGGUAUCUCAUGCCAAGUUUGGCCUCACGAACUAAAAGUUAUAGAGUCAUACAUUUUUAACAAAACAAAAUAGAGAAAAACCGAAAAAAGAGGGAUGCAACACAAGGACUUUCCGGGAGGUCACCCAUCCUAGUACUACUCUCGCCCAAGCACCCUUAACUGCGGAGUUCUGAUGGGAUCCAGUGCAUUAGUGCUGGUAUGAUCGCAUGUGUUACUACAUGCAAUGUAAUCGUAUCUAUUCUUUUUUAAAGAUUUUAUGAUCCAUUUGCCGUGGGUCCCACCAGCUAUGUAGGAAUACCCUAUCUUCUUUAUAAGAGCUUUGAUACAUACAAAAUAUUGGAUCACAAUGUCAGAACAUAUAAUUUUCCCCCCUUAAUAUAGCAAAGUUCACUAAAAGGCCCGAAAAAAUACAUUUAGUUCAAAAUUUGGAGUAGAAAAAAAAACAAUAGAAGAAUUUCAUUUUCCUUCCUCAGUCAUCGGAGAGCUCUCUUUGGGCUUUCCAAAAAGGUAUCACAUGCCAAGUUUGGCCUCACAGUCUAAAAGUUAUAGAGUCAUACAUUUUUAACAAAACAAAAUAGAGAAAAACCGAAAAAAAGAGGGAUGCAACACGAGGACUUUCUGGGAGGUAAUCUAUCCUAGUACUACUCUCGCCCAAGCACCCUUAACUGCGGAGUUCUGAUGGGAUCCGGUGCAGUAGUGCUGGUAUGAUCGCAUGUGUUACUACAUGCAAUGUAAUCGUAUCUAUUCUUUUUUAAAGACUUUAUGAUCCAUUUGCCGUGAGUCCCACCAGCUAUGUAGGAAUAUUCUAUCUUCUUUAUAAGAGCUUUGAUACAUGCAAAAUACUGGAAAACAAUGUCCGAACAUAUAAUUUUCCCCCCGUAAUAUAGCAAAGAUCACGAAAAGGCCCGAAAAAGUACAUUUAGUUCAAAAUUUGGAGUAGAAAAAAAAACAAUAGAAGAAUUCCAUUUUCCUUCCUCAAUCAUCGGAGAGCUCUCUUUGGGCUUUCCGAAAAGGUAUCUCAUGCCAAGUUUGGCCUCACGAACUAAAAGUUAUAGAGUCAUACAUUUUUAACAAAACAAAAUAGAGAAAAACCGAAAAAAGAGGGAUGCAACACAAGGACUUUCCGGGAGGUCACCCAUCCUAGUACUACUCUCGCCCAAGCACCCUUAACUGCGGAGUUCUGAUGGGAUCCAGUGCAUUAGUGCUGGUAUGAUCGCAUGUGUUACUACAUGCAAUGUAAUCGUAUCUAUUCUUUUUUAAAGAUUUUAUGAUCCAUUUGCCGUGGGUCCCACCAGCUAUGUAGGAAUACCCUAUCUUCUUUAUAAGAGCUUUGAUACAUACAAAAUAUUGGAUCACAAUGUCAGAACAUAUAAUUUUCCCCCCUUAAUAUAGCAAAGUUCACUAAAAGGCCCGAAAAAAUACAUUUAGUUCAAAAUUUGGAGUAGAAAAAAAAACAAUAGAAGAAUUUCAUUUUCCUUCCUCAGUCAUCGGAGAGCUCUCUUUGGGCUUUCCAAAAAGGUAUCACAUGCCAAGUUUGGCCUCACAGUCUAAAAGUUAUAGAGUCAUACAUUUUUAACAAAACAAAAUAGAGAAAAACCGAAAAAAAGAGGGAUGCAACACGAGGACUUUCUGGGAGGUAAUCUAUCCUAGUACUACUCUCGCCCAAGCACCCUUAACUGCGGAGUUCUGAUGGGAUCCGGUGCAGUAGUGCUGGUAUGAUCGCAUGUGUUACUACAUGCAAUGUAAUCGUAUCUAUUCUUUUUUAAAGACUUUAUGAUCCAUUUGCCGUGAGUCCCACCAGCUAUGUAGGAAUAUUCUAUCUUCUUUAUAAGAGCUUUGAUACAUGCAAAAUACUGGAAAACAAUGUCCGAACAUAUAAUUUUCCCCCCGUAAUAUAGCAAAGAUCACGAAAAGGCCCGAAAAAGUACAUUUAGUUCAAAAUUUGGAGUAGAAAAAAAAACAAUAGAAGAAUUCCAUUUUCCUUCCUCAAUCAUCGGAGAGCUCUCUUUGGGCUUUCCGAAAAGGUAUCUCAUGCCAAGUUUGGCCUCACGAACUAAAAGUUAUAGAGUCAUACAUUUUUAACAAAACAAAAUAGAGAAAAACCGAAAAAAGAGGGAUGCAACACAAGGACUUUCCGGGAGGUCACCCAUCCUAGUACUACUCUCGCCCAAGCACCCUUAACUGCGGAGUUCUGAUGGGAUCCGGUGCAUUAGUGCUGGUAUGAUCGCCCGUGUUACUACAUGCAAUGCAAUCGUAUCUAUUCUUUUUUAAAGAUUUUAUGAUCCAUUUGCCGUGGGUCCCACCAGCUAUGUAGGAAUACCCUAUCUUCUUUAUAAGAGGUUUGAUACAUACAAAAUAUUGGAUCACAAUGUCAGAACAUAUAAUUUUCCCCCCUUAAUAUAGCAAAGAUCACUAAAAGGCCCGAAAAAAUACAUUUAGUUCAAAAUUUGGAGUAGAAAAAAAAACAAUAGAAGAAUUCCAUUUUCCUUCCUCAGUUAUCGGAGAACUCUCUUUGGGCUUUCCGAAAAGGUAUCACAUGCCAAGUUUGGCCUCACGGUCUAAAAGAUAUAGAGUCAUACAUUAUUAACAAAACAAAAUAGAGAAAAACCGAAAAAAAGAAGGAUGCAACACGAGGACUUUGCG
rnacentral:sRNA from 1 species